UACGUAGGGUGCAAGCGUUAAUCGGACUUACUGGGCGUAAAGCGUGCGCAGGCGGUUUUGUAAGUCUGACGUGAAAUCCCCGGGCUCAACCUGGGAAUUGCGUUGGAGACUGCAAGGCUAGAAUCUGGCAGAGGGGGGUAGAAUUCCACGUGUAGCAGUGAAAUGCGUAGAGAUGUGGAGGAACACCGAUGGCGAAGGCAGCCCCCUGGGUCAAGAUUGACGCUCAUGCACGAAAGCGUGGGGAGCAAACAGG
rnacentral:rRNA from 1 species